rnacentral:rRNA from 1 species
UACAGAGGGUGCAAGCGUUGUUCGGAAUUAUUGGGCGUAAAGGGCGCGUAGGCGGUGCUGUAAGUCUGUAGUGAAAUCUCUGGGCUCAACCCCGGGUCGGCCGUGCGAACUGUCGAGCUGGAGCACUGUAGAGGCAGGUGGAAUUCCGGGUGUAGCGGUGGAAUGCGUAGAGAUCCGGAAGAACACCGGUGGCGAAGGCGGCCUGCUGGGCAGUGGCUGACGCUGAGGCGCGACAGCGUGGGGAGCAAACAGG